rnacentral:rRNA from 1 species
GACGAACGCUGGCGGCGUGCUUAACACAUGCAAGUCGAGCGACUGCAUUCUUUUCGGAGGGUGUAUGGAGCGGCGAACGGGUGAGUAACACGUGAGUAAUCUGCCUUUGGCUUGGGAAUAACUUCGGGAAAUCGGGGCUAAUGCCUGAUGUUUACUGUCUGCUGCAUGGUGGGUGGUGGAAAGAUUUUUUGGCCAGGGAUGAGCUCGCGGUCUAUCAGCNGUUGGUGGGGUAAUGGCUUACCAAGGCUUUGACGGGUAGCCGGCCUGAGAGGGUGUUCGGCCACACUGGGACUGAGACACGGCCCAGACUCCUACGGGAGGCAGCAGUGGGGAAUAUUGGACAAUGGGCGCAAGCCUGAUCCAGCGAUGCCGCGUGUGUGAAGAAGGCCUGCGGGUUGUAAAGCACUUUC